rnacentral:lncRNA from 1 species
CACAUAUAAAAGAAUGUUAUUGAUAUAAAAAAAUGUUUUAUAUAUUGAGUACCUUCGGUUUAAAGGAAGAAAAUAUUUCUGGCUUCUCAGGGAAAAUCCCAUAGAAAACCCAAGUUAGGCACACAGUAGCUCCUGCCUACUUCUUUGCAGAGCUGUUCUGAUUACUCUGUGAUGUCAUUGUGGGGCGUCAGGCUUUGGAAGCCUAGAUGAGUCAGCACUGUUCAGUUGAUGGGGCCAGUGGCUUGACAGGAGAGACUACAUUCUGAUCUGGCUGCCUCAUUGUGUCAGACAUCUUAUCAUGUAUGGCUUUCAAUUCCUCCAUCUAAAAAGAAAGUGAAGCCCCAUGUCCCACAGAGCUAUGCUAUGAAGAAGACCCUGUCUGACCCCACUGUGCCUGACCUGGCGUACCCAAAUUCCAUCUCUGCUAAGAGUCACUGCACCAGAAUGAGUCACCCAUGUGAUUGCUUGGGAAAAUGCCUGAAUUAUUUUGGCCAUGUCCAGCCAUCCAACUACAGCUGUGGUUUAAACAAAAAGUACUGAAAGUAAGAGUUGAACCAAGAUAGAAAUUACUCCACACUAUAGCAGUCCAAGAAGCCUUCAUAGAAGAAUAAAACCUAAGGUUCCUCCCACAGGAAAAGCUAUGUUUGAAUGGAGUAGCAUGUGGGUGGCCUUCACAGGCCUCAAAAGUUCCCUUUGCCACCCAU